rnacentral:rRNA from 1 species
GACGAACGCUGGCGGCGUGCUUAACACAUGCAAGUCGAACGGAAAGGCCCUGCUUUUGUGGGGUGCUCGAGUGGCGAACGGGUGAGUAACACGUGAGUAACCUGCCCUUGACUUUGGGAUAACUUCAGGAAACUGGGGCUGAUACCGGAUAGGAGCUCCUGCUGCAUGGUGGGGGUUGGAAAGUUUCGGCGGUUGGGGAUGGACUCGCGGCUUAUCAGCUUGUUGGUGGGGUAGUGGCUUACCAGGGCUUUGACGGGUAGCCGGCCUGAGAGGGUGACCGGCCACAUUGGGACUGAGAUACGGCCCAGACUCCUACGGGAGGCAGCAGUGGGGAAUAUUGCACAAUGGGCGGAAGCCUGAUGCAGCAACGCCGCGUGCGGGAUGACGGCCUUCGGGUUGUAAACCGCUUUCGCCUGUGACGAAGCGUGAGUGACGGUAAUGGGUAAAGAAGCACCGGCUAACUACGUG